UUUCGCACUUUUUGUUUUUCUCCAUUGUUACAUUAUGAUUAUUUUAUUGAAGCUAUUUAUUCAUUUUAUUAUGUAAUAUCUAUUAUGCUCUCUACUGUUGCUGCCUACAUGACUUAUUAAAGAACAAUAUAUGUAUGCAUCAUUGUGCAAAGUAGAAUGACGUGCAAGAAAAUUAAAUAGCAAAAUAAAAUAAUCAAAAGAAAAACAAAACAAAAAAUAAUAAAAAUAAAUUACCAAGUUAUUCUGAAGAACGCUAGCUGAAGCCAUGCCAAAAAAGACUGUGUGACGAGCGUCACACAAUCUAUGACGGACGGCAUGCCAAGUACCUGUU
rnacentral:lncRNA from 1 species